AUUGAACGCUGGCGGCAGGCCUAACACAUGCAAGUCGAACGAGUGGCGGAAGGGUGAGUAAUGUCUGGGAAACUGCCCGUUGGAGGGGGAUAACUACUGGAAACGGUAGCUAAUACCGCAUACCAUCGGAUGUGCCCAGAUGGGAUUAGCUCGUAGGUGGGGGAACGGCUCACCGAGGCGACGAUCCCUAGCUGGUCUGAGAGGAUGACCAGCCACACGGGAACUGAGACACGGUCCAGAUGCCUACGGGAGGCAGCAGUGGGGAAUAUUGCACAAUGGGCGCAAGCCUGAUGCAGCAAUGCGGCGGGGAUGAAGAAGGCCUUCGGGUUGUAAAGUACGUUCAGCGAGGAGGCGUUACUCGCAGAAGAAGCACCGGCUAACUCCGUGCCAGCAGCCGCGGUAAUUC
rnacentral:rRNA from 1 species